rnacentral:rRNA from 1 species
UUUNCGGCAAUGGGGGGAACCCUGACCGAGCNACGCCGCGUGAACGAAGAAGUUAUUCGUAAUGUAAAGUUCUUUUACCAGGGAAGAAAGAGGAAUUUGACGGUACCUGAGGAAUAAGCCCCGGCUAACUACGUGCCAGCAGCCGCGGUAAUACGUAGGGAGCGAGCGUUAUCCGGAAUUAUUGGGCGUAAAGGGUGCGUAGAUGGCAUAGUAAGUCUUUUGUAAAAAUGCUGGGCUCAACCCAGUAGGGCAAAAGAUACUGCAAAGCUAGAGUAUGACGGAGGCAAGUGGAACUACAUGUGUAGCGGUAAGAUGCGUAAAUAUAUGUAAGAACACCAGUGGCGAAGGCGGCUUGCUGGGUCGAUACUGACAUUGAGGCACGAAAGCGUGGGGAGCAAACAGGA